rfam:Xenopus tropicalis strain Nigerian Chr02_contig_2011, whole genome shotgun sequence.
UCUGGCUGAGGUAGUAGUUUGUGUAGUUAGGGGGCAGUGGUGUUUGCCCAUGGAGAUAACUAGACAAACUACUGCCUUGCCAGC